UCCGGUAGCUAGCUCUCUGCAACUCUUACAUGGUCGCCCACUGAAGCUAAACAGGGCUGUACCCAGUCAGUACCUUGAUGGGAGACCACAAGGGAAAAGCUGGGUUGCUGCCUGAA
ensembl:rRNA 5S_rRNA 5S ribosomal RNA